rnacentral:rRNA from 1 species
AUGGCCUCCCCCUCGGAUGCGAACUCUGCCACGAGCGGAGGUGCUUCGGCGGCCGCUAACGCCGCCCUGGAAGAUUUCUUCGAUCAUCUGGAUCUGAACGACGAGGAGUUCAAUGAUGUUGAGAUUGAUGAAGAGGAUCCCGAAAUCAAAGAGAGCAUACGGUGGCUAGCCCUAGCUAGGGUUCACACCGACAAGAAUUUCUCGCAGGCAGCUUUCUACAAGGACUUGAGGGCGGCCUGGAAUCCGGCGCAGCGGGUAAGAUUUCGCCCGGUCGGACCUAACAGAUUCGUUGUCCAAGCUUCUUGCCUGGGCGACUGGGAGAGCAUGAUGAUGCAAGGCCCUUGGCUCUUCCGCAACAUGGCGGUUCUGAUGUGUCCGUACGAUGGUUCCACCAAAGCGGACGAUGUGGUUUUCGAUCAUAUGCCCAUCUAGUUACAGAUACAUAAACUUCCUGAUCCCUAUUGCAAGCGGGGUAUUGUGGAGCGGCUCCUAGGGGCCGGCGAGAUCUUGGAGAUGCGUUUAAACGGCAACACCCGUGGGGACUAUGUUAGGGUUAGGGUUAACCAUGCCAUUAAGCAGCCUCUUACAAAGUUUGUGAGCAUUGUUCGGGCGCAGGAGAGGCAAGUUUAUCGGGUGCGGUAUGAGAAGUUGGCCCGUUUUUGCGGUUUCUGUGGUCGGAUAGGACAUGAGCAUAAGGAGUGUGGAUCUGGUGUUCAUGAUAAGAAAAAUCUCAAUUUUGGUGACUGGCUAUACGCCGAGGGCCCUAGCCGGCCGAGGCCUGACCAAAACCCUAGCAGAGUAGAUGCACCUCGUCAGCAAAAGAAGAACGGGAGCCCUAGUGCUCCAUUGGACCCUGGCCUCAAGGCUUCGGAUCCUGAGGCGCUCGACACUGCCACAAGCCCGGUGAAGACCCCGAGUGCACUCAUGGAAAUUGAUAGAGACGUGAGGAAGAGAUUGAACAUGGAUAGUGUUGGAGAUGAUGCUGUGAACAUACCUAAAAGCAAGGAUGUGGUUUUGGCCAUUAUGGAUGGCAUUGUUCAGGACCUGGGAGAGAAUGCCUCAUCAACAAGCAGCUCUUCAAGCAGUAAACGUGUCAAGCUCACCAAGGAUCAUGAUACCACGGAGAGAUCGGCGGUUUCCCUCGAGGAAGACCGCCGGACACAAUGA